AGUAAUGCUUGGGAAUCUGGCUUAUGGAGGGGGAUAACUACGGGAAACUGUAGCUAAUACCGCGUAGUGUCGAGAGACGAAAGUGCGGGACCGAAAGGCCGCAUGCCAUGAGAUGAGCCCAAGUGGGAUUAGGUAGUUGGUGGGAUAAAGGCCUACCAAGCCUGCGAUCUCUAGCUGGUCUGAGAGGAUGGCCAGCCACACUGGAACUGAGACACGGUCCAG
rnacentral:rRNA from 1 species